rnacentral:rRNA from 1 species
UUUGCCUACGGGAGGCAGCAGUGGGGAAUAUUGCACAAUGGGGGGAACCCUGAUGCAGCGACGCCGCGUGAGUGAAGAAGUAUUUCGGUAUGUAAAGCUCUGUCAGCAGGGCAGAAGAAAGACGGUACCUGACCAAGAAGCCCCGGCUAACUACGUGCCAGCAGCCGCGGUAAUACGUAGGGGGCAAGCGUUAUCCGGAUUUACUGGGUGUAAAGGGCGCGUAGACGGCAGGGCAAGUCUGGUGUGAAAGGCAGGGGCCCAACCCCUGGACUGCUCUGGAAACUGUCCGGCUGGAGGGCAGGGGG